rnacentral:rRNA from 1 species
GUUUGAUCCUGGCUCAGAGCGAACGUUAGCGGCAGGCUUAACACAUGCAAGUCGAGCGAGAAAGGGGCUUCGGCUCCGAGUAAAGCGGCGGACGGGUGCGUAACACGUGGAUAAUCUGCCUCGUGGCGGGGGACAACAGUCCGAAAGGACUGCUAAUACCGCAUGUCAGGUCGGAAACUCCGGUUUCUGACGAAAAAGAGGGCGUCCGCAAGGAGCUCUCACCACGAGAUGAGUCCGCGUCCCAUCAGCUAGUUGGCGGUGUAAUGGACCACCAAGGCUUAGACGGGUAGCUGGUCUGAGAGGAUGACCAGCCACACUGGGACUGAGACACGGCCCAGACUCCUACGGGAGGCAGCAGUGGGGAAUAUUGGACAAUGGGCGAAAGCCUGAUCCAGCCAUGCCGCGUGAGUGAUGAAGGCCUCGGUCGUAAGACUCUGUGGGGAGGGACGG